UCCACUUUGUAACACAAUGAAAUGUGAAUGUCCAGGGGGGUAUAGGCACCUAUCGGCACUGUAGGUUAAUAACGUAAACAUAUAUUAUGUUUUGUACUUUCUUAAACCGGUGGACUGUGAACAUGUGAGAAAAUGUAUAGACGACUAUAACCACAGACGUUGUUUGGUUCAGAUUUGGUCCGCUCUGGACCGGCCCUGAUUUGGCCCAAACAUAGACUUGCCUAGGGUUGGUUCCGAUUUGGUCCUGCCUGACAAAAUUGGGUCUUGUUAAGGGCUGGAGCACAUUUAAAAAAUACCCAGAGUGCUUUGCAAGUGUUCAUUUUUGUAUUUACAUGGUGGUCAUUUAGCAGACACUUUUACUGAGAGCAAUUUACAGUCAGUAAAUUGGAUCCAGGUGCGACUGUCGUCACGGUCACAGCUGCAACCUAACUAUUUGACAUUACUGAUCUCUAAGCAAUGAUGCCACCGCUGCUGAUUCCUUGCCUCUCAACCAGAGAAAUACCUGGCUGACUACAGUGGAGCUGCAGGCCACUGACGUCACCAGGCGAUGUUCCCACAGCUGAGCAGAGGAUCCAAUACGACAAACCAUGCAGCAGAUCCCCAAUGCACGUGGAUAUUGCGGCCUUCUUGAUCAAGUUCUAAUGAAGUGGCCGAUGAUAUCUGCAUCCUGUUGAUAGACACUACGCCCCAGACGCAGAAACUGGAGGACACAACAGCCAUUAUCUGCUCAUAAUUACUGAACCAAAAUAUAAACGCAACAUGUUUAGUGUUGGUCCUAUGUUUCAUGAGCUCAAUUAAAAGAUCCCAGAAAUGGUUUACAUCCUUGUUAGUGAGCAUUUCUGAUAAUCCAUCCACUUGACAGGUGUGGCAUAUCAAAAAGCUGAUUAUAAAGCAGUAUCAUUACACAGGUGCACCAUGUGCUGGGGACAAUAAAAGGCCACUCUAAAAUGUGCAGUAGCGUGCAAUUGGCAUGCUGAUUGCAGGAAUGUCCACCAGAGUUGUUGGCAGAUAAUUUACUCUUAAUUUCUCUGCCAUAAGGCAUCUCCAACGACCUUUUAGAGAAUUUGGCAGUACAUCCAACCGGCCUCACAACCGCAGAGCACGUGUAACCACGCCAGCCCAGGACCUCCAUAGCUGGCUUAUUCACUUGCGGGAUCGUUUGAGACCAGCCACGCGAACAGGUGAUGAAAUUGAGGAGUAUUUCUGUCUGUAAUGUAGCCAUUUUGUGGAGAAAGCUCAUUCUGAUUGGUUGGGCCUGGCUCCGCAGUGGGUGGCCCAUCCAUGGCUACGCCCAGUCAUGUGAAAUCCAAAGAUUAGGGCCUAAUGAAUUUCCAUAAAUGAACUGUUACUCAGUAAAAUCAUAGAAAUUGUUGCAUGUUGGGCUAAUCAUUUUGUUCAGUAUAGUUAUCAGUUAUUACGAGGGGCACAACUUUGGAAUUAUUAUUAUGACUUUUUUUCCCCGAAUAAACACUCCAAACAGCCUUCCCCGACCGCUCUGAGGGGUCUGCAUGGUCCUAAAGCACAAUGUUGCCUCGUUUUGUAUCACAAUCCAAUGAGAAAACUGGGGGGGACAAAAAUGCAACUUCCGACUGUGGGGGGACAUGUCCCCCCCGUCCCCAGUGAAAGUUGCACCCCUGGUUAUUACCUGUGGAAUUUUCCUUCUAUACACUAUUAUGAUAUGAUUGCUUUGUAACUCUGCGACCAAUCUCUAAUCACAUACUGUAGUCAUAUAAAGUGGAGUUCCUCCUCCACCAAUAGCUCAGGGUUGCAAUGUUAAACGUUGAACUCCACUCUCUUUUAAACUGAGGUGAACUGACAGACAGUGGACCAGCAGCAGUCGGUACGUAACCUGACACCACCGGAAGUCUUCGUGGCAUUUGUCUAGAACAAAUGAAAACGUUAUUGAACUAUUUACAGAUUACAGAUAUACAGAAGAAUGAAGAUAAAUAGGAAUAUAUUAGCAUAUACAAUGGAAUUAUGAAUUUAAAAAAAAUUACAAAUCAAAGAAAUGUUUUAAACUGAAAUGUCUUUAGUCAAUAAGUAUUCAAAUCCUUUGUUAUGGCAAGUCUAGAGUUCAGGAGUAAACAUUUGCUUAACAAGUCACAUAAUACAUUGCAUGGACUCACUCUAUGUGCAAUAAUAGUGAUUAACAUGAUUUGUUUUAUGAUUACCUCAUCUCUGUACUCCACACAUACAAUUAUCUGUAAGGUCCAUCAGUCGAGCAGUGAAUUUCCAACACAGAUUUAAUCACAAACACCUCAUAAAGAAGGGCACCUAUUGGUAGAUUAAAAAAAUGUAAAAAGCAGACAAUGAAUAUCCCUUUGAGCAUGGUGAAAUGAAUGACACAUUUGAUGGUGUAUCAAUACACCCAGUCACUACAAAGAUACAGGCGUCCUUCCUAACUCAGUUGACGGAGAGGAAGGAAGCCACUCAGGGAUUUCACCAUGAGGCCAACGUUGACUUCAUAACACUUACAUUGUUUAAUAGCUGUGAUAGGAGAAAACUAAAGAUUACAUUGUAACAUCUCCACAAUAGUAACCUAAUUAACAGCGUGAAAAGAAGAAAGCCAGUACAAAAUGUAAAUAUUCCAAAACAUGCAUCCGUUUGCAACAAGGCACUAAAGUAAUACUGCAAAAAAUGUGACAA